rnacentral:tRNA from 1 species
GCCCCUGUAGCUCAGAGGAUAGAGCGGUGGCUUCCUAAGCCGCGCGUCGUGGGUUCGAAUCCCUCCAGGGGUACCA